AUUGAACGCUGGCGGCAUGCCUUACACAUGCAAGUCGAACGGCAGCGCGGGAGCAAUCCUGGCGGCGAGUGGCGAACGGGUGAGUAAUACAUCGGAACGUGCCCAAUCGUGGGGGAUAACGCAGCGAAAGCUGUGCUAAUACCGCAUACGAUCUACGGAUGAAAGCAGGGGAUCGCAAGACCUUGCGCGAAUGGAGCGGCCGAUGGCAGAUUAGGUAGUUGGUGAGGUAAAGGCUCACCAAGCCUUCGAUCUGUAGCUGGUCUGAGAGGACGACCAGCCACACUGGGACUGAGACACGGCCCAGACUCCUACGGGAGGCAGCAGUGGGGAAUUUUGGACAAUGGGCGAAAGCCUGAUCCAGCCAUGCCGCGUGCAGGAUGAAGGCCUUCGGGUUGUAUACUGCUUUUGUACGGAACGAAACGGUCUUUUCUAAUAAAGAAGGCUAAUGACGGUACCGUAAGAAUAAGCACCGGCUAACUACGUG
rnacentral:rRNA from 1 species